rnacentral:pre_miRNA from 7 species
AUUUCCUGUGAAAGACCCUCGAAGGGAGACCCUCACUCAAGCCUCGGGACAGCCGCGGACCCAAGAAGACACUGAGACCG